rnacentral:tRNA from 1 species
GCUCUGGUGGUCCAAUCCGGUCAGGAUGUUGGUUUGUCGAACCAACGGUCCGCGUUCAAAUCGCGGCCAGAGCG